rnacentral:rRNA from 1 species
CCUACGGGGUGCUGCAGUGAGGAAUAUUGGUCAAUGGGCGCUAGCCUGAACCAGCCAAGUAGCGUGAAGGAUGACUGCCCUAUGGGUUGUAAACUUCUUUUAUAUGGGAAUAAAGUGCAGUAUGUAUACUGCUUUGCAUGUACCUUAUGAAUAAGGAUCGGCUAACUCCGUGCCAGCAGCCGCGGUAAUACGGAGGAUGCGAGCGUUAUCCGGAUUUAUUGGGUUUAAAGGGUGCGUAGGUGGUUAAUUAAGUCAGCGGUGAAAGUUUGUGGCUCAACCAUAAAAUUGCCGUUGAAACUGGUUGACUUGAGUAUAUUUGAGGUAGGCGGAAUGCGUGGUGUAGCGGUGAAAUGCAUAGAUAUCACGCAGAACUCCGAUUGCGAAGGCAGCUUACUAAACUAUAACUGACACUGAAGCACGAAAGCGUGGGGAUCAAACAGGAUUAGAUACCCCUGUAGUC